UGGACAGUCGACUUCAAUGGACAAUUUUACAUGUUCGGAGUAUCUUGAUCAAGAUACUAUGCCUAAGGGUGAUGACGUUGCAUCACAAGCUGAUAUUCUGUCUAAUCAGGGUUGUGCAGCUGAAAACGUUGUUCAACUUAAUGUCUCCUUACAAAAUGAUCUGAAUGCUCCUAGUGACAGUAAAUUGACAUUGGGUCAGGAAGCUUGUUCUUCA
rnacentral:misc_RNA from 1 species